rnacentral:rRNA from 1 species
CUUGGUCAUUUAGAGGAAGUAAAAGUCGUAACAAGGUUUCCGUAGGUGAACCUGCGGAAGGAUCAUUACAGAGAACAUGCCCUUCGGGGUAUAUCUCCCACCCUUUGUCUACAAUACCUUUGUUGCUUUGRCAGGCCCGUCUCACGACUACUGGCUUUAGCUGGUCCGUGCCUGCCAGAGGACCAAAAUUCUUUUUAUUAUGUUGUCCGAGUAUUAUGAAAAUAGUUAAAACUUUCAACAACGGAUCUCUUGGUUCUGGCAUCGAUGAAGAACGCAGCGAAAUGCGAUAAGUAAUGUGAAUUGCAGAAUUCAGUGAAUCAUCGAAUCUUUGAACGCACAUUGCACCCUCUGGUAUUCCGGGGGGUAUGCCUGUUCGAGCGUCAUUGCAACCCUCAAGCAUUGCUUGGUAUUGGAUGCCACCGCUGUGGUGCAUCUCAAAAGUAUUGGUGGUGGCAUUCAGCUUCUAGYGUAGUAAAUCUUCUCGCCUUGGAGUUUGAGUGUCUGACUGCUAGAACCCCUAAAUUUAUCAAAGGUUGACCUCGGAUCAGGUAGGGAUACCCGCUGAACUUAAGCAUAUCAAUAAGCGGAGGA